UUUAUACUCCAUUUUUUUAGCAAUUCCGAAUUAUUGCUUGAAGAUUCAGGAAAAAAAUGUAAAGAUUUGAGCAAUCUCGUAGUCAUGCUUAAGAAAGUGGGGUAUUGGUGAAGUCACGACCUGAAUGCUGGUGAUUCAUACAUUUGUAACCUAAGCAUUUAGCUUUUAGACUUUCAUUUCGUGUUACAGUGAAUACUAAGUAUAUUUUCCCAAUUCUCGUGUUCAAGUAUAUUUUCCCAAUUCUCAUAGAACACAAUAAUGGUGGAAGUAUGACCUGAUAUGGUGUUGCUGAUGUUUUGAAGGGCUCAUCUGGUGACCGUAAUUUGCUUAUAAUUUUUCAUAUAGAAAGUCAUUUUUCAUUGUUUAUAACUUUGUUGAUGAAAAUCCUCAAGUUUUACAUAUAAUUUGCUUGUUGAGUUCUAUUUUUUUAUAAUUCUCAUUAUGGUAUAAUAGUAAUUAAAAAAUGUAUAUGCAUCUCUACAUCUUAAAAAAAGGAAAUGCAUCUUAUAUCAUGAUAACUUUCUAUGUGAAGACUACCAGAAGAUAUUCACACCAUCCAAUAGCUGAAGCCUAGGUAAGAGGAAAGGAUUCAAAAUUUCAAAUGCAUCUCCUUCUGUUUCUUUUUCUAUAUUGGUUCUAAGAUUCAAAUGCUUUUCGACUGUUGAUUAUCUGUUGGGUGCUUGGGCAUGGGUAUGUUAAAGAAAAUAAACAAAAAAUGGACAGGAGUUAAAAAUGUCUUAAAUGAAAGUUUAUAUUAUGUAAAUGCUUUUCGACUGUUGAUUAUCUGUUGUGGCUAUUUUUGAGAUUUCGAAUCGGUUUGAACUUGGUAAAACACACACAAGAAUGGCUUGUGUGUGCUCUUUUCUAAUCUCUAUUGAAUACUAAUUGGACUUUAAUUUUUAAUUCUGUUUUCCUUAUCAAAUUUGCAGCAGAUGUAUCUUAUUCUUGUCUAUAUGUUUGGUUGUUGCAGAUUUUUCUCUUAGACCCUUGAUUAAAUUCUCUUCAAGGUGACAAUUAGCUGAUACAGAUAAUUAAGUUCCCUGAAAUUGGUGGGAGAAUUGAAACUCAACCUUCAUCAGGACAGGCAGUUCAAUAGUUUUGAAGAUUCAUCUGGGAAAAAGCUUAUGACAGGGUCAGCUUUGCAAGCAACUCAAGGGUCAGGAGGCAUAUGGUGUGGCUGUUUUACGCUCUGGCUCAGAGUCAAAUAUUGGUAUGAUUUAAAUGCUCUUUAGGUUCUUUCUUUAUUGAUUCUUCAUAUUUUCACUUGAAACCUACCAAAUCAACAACUAAUCUAAAAGUAGGUUCUUUGGUUGUGUGAUUCUGCUUCAUCUUUCUUGUGUUUUGGAAUAUUGUGAUUUUACUCAUUCUCAUCUGGAGAUUUUCAUUAUCAAUUUGCAUAAAAAGUUCAAAAUGUAAAAAUGUGAUAACGGUGACGGGAACAAAUUUUGUUAAAA